GUGAGGAAUUUUCCGCAAUGGGCGAAAGCCUGACGGAGCAAUGCCGCGUGAAGGAUGAAGGCCUAUGGGUUGUAAACUUCUUUUCUCAGAAAAGAAUUAUGACGGUAUCUGAGGAAUAAGCAUCGGCUAACUCUGUGCCAGCAGCCGCGGUAAGACAGAGGAUGCAAGCGUUAUCCGGAAUGAUUGGGCGUAAAGCGUCUGUAGGUUGUUUAAAAAGUAUUCUGUCAAAGAUUAGGGCUUAACCCUAGAUAGGCAGAAUAAACUUUUAAGCUAGAGUUUGGUAGAGGCAGAGGGAAUUCCCGGUGGAACGGUGAAAUGCGUAGAUAUCGGGAGGAACACCAAAGGCGAAGGCACUCUGCUGGGCCAAUACUAACACUGAGAGACGAAAGCGAGGGGAGCAAAUGGGAUUAGAAACCCUGGUAGUCC
rnacentral:rRNA from 1 species